UACGUAGGUCCCGAGCGUUGUCCGGAUUUAUUGGGCGUAAAGCGAGCGCAGGUGGUUUAUUAAGUCUGGUGUAAAAGGCAGUGGCUCAACCAUUGUAUGCAUUGGAAACUGGUAGACUUGAGUGCAGGAGAGGAGAGUGGAAUUCCAUGUGUAGCGGUGAAAUGCGUAGAUAUUAGGAGGAACACCAGUGGCGAAGGCGGCUUUCUGGACUGUAACUGACACUGAGGUACGAAAGCGUGGGGAGCAAACAGG
rnacentral:rRNA from 1 species